UCUCUUUCAACCAAUAAUUUGCUUCAUUAUAAGUGGAAAAACUAGUUAAAAGUUGUAACUAGUAUCUUUUUCCAUUUAUGAGAAAGGUUAAGAACAAAUCCGUCAUCUACAGAUUCGCUUUAAACUAAAGUCAGCUAAGAACAGAGAAUAAAUCAUUAAAUAAUCAAGAAAGCAAAAAAUGGGGUCUCAUUGACGACUCAAAAAAAUCUAGGUAUAGAGAUAAAAUUAGUGCUGAACGUUACUGCCUUUUGAGAAUUUUCCAGCUCAAUUAGCUUCUUCUUUCUUUCUCUAUUUAUACACCAAAAUCUCAAUAUAUACACUUUACAUACAAAUAGAAUAUUCUUCUUCUUCGCCCCCCAGGGCACUUCUCCACUGGCAAAGGACGGACGCUGUCAAACUUGGCAGAGCAGAGGUCGUGAGUUCGAAACAUGGGGCUCUUGGAAGGCAAGAAUUUAUUCUUGGAAGGCAAGGGAACAUUUGGAAGGCAAACCAUUUAUGAGAAAGGUUAAGAACAAAUCCGCCAUCUACAGAUUCGCUUUAAACUAAAGUCAGCUAAGAACAGAGAAUAAAUCAUUAAAUAAUCAAGAAAGCAAAAAAUGGGGUCUCAUUGACGACUCAAAAAAUCUAGGUAUAGAGAUAAAAUUAGUGCUGAACGUUACGGCCUUUUGAGAAUUUUCCAGCUCAAUUAGC
rnacentral:lncRNA from 1 species